rnacentral:tRNA from 1 species
UGGCCCAUCGCCAAGCGGUAAGGCACAGGACUUUGACUCCUGCACUCGAGGGUUCGAAUCCCGCUGGGCCAGCGA